rnacentral:tRNA from 1 species
GGCUCUAUAGUGUAGUGGUUAUCACCUCGGAUUCUGAUUCCGGUAACGCCAGUUCGAAUCUGGCUAGGGCCU